UCCAAAAUUUAUCUAAGCCCAAAUAAAGUAGUAGCACAUAGUAAUUUUUUCAGUUGAUGGAAGUCGAUGAAACCAGAGAGCGAAAGAAGCAAAGCGGUUUGCUCGAUCGGGAGAGAGAAUCUUAUUCCUUAGCUCAGUCACUGUUACCUCAUCUCAGAUGAUUUCCUUGGAUUAGUGUCCCUGAAGCUCUGAAGUUUAUUCCUUACCUGGUGGUCAAUGAUCGAGAAGAGAGAGUCGAUUGAUCUGAACCGAUUUGCAUAGAGUCGCUGGUUCCUCUCAUUCCAAAUCCAGUAUAGAAUCGCUUGCCAUUCUAGGAGAGUUAGUGAUCAGAGGAAAGUUGGUGAGGUGAACGAUGUCAUCUGAGUGAGGGGGAUCUCCCAUCCACGCUGAGGCUUAUGGAAUAAUCUCCUUUUUAGGGGCAAGUGGAGAAGGCUCGUUAUAACACACACAUCUUCAUCAUAUAUUGUCGUCCCUCACCGACAACCUUCCUACCUUAUUGCCUUUGUUUUGUCCCAUCGCUUUCAACACAUUUUCCAUUAAUAGCUAACUUCAAUCUGAAUUAGAUUUUGUUGAAUUCGUUUUAUUUGCUCUCUUUUUGGAGUGUGAAAUUUCUAUGAACCGAGAUCACGUUAUAAGACCACUAAGGAAAUAAAAGAUUAAAAUGACAGUUUAAUUACUA